UACGUAGGGUGCGAGCGUUGUCCGGAAUUAUUGGGCGUAAAGAGCUUGUAGGCGGUUUGUCGCGUCUGCUGUGAAAAUCCGGGGCUCAACCCCGGACUUGCAGUGGGUACGGGCAGACUAGAGUGUGGUAGGGGAGACUGGAAUUCCUGGUGUAGCGGUGAAAUGCGCAGAUAUCAGGAGGAACACCAAUGGCGAAGGCAGCUCGCUGGGACGGUACUGACGCUGAGGCGCGAAAGCGUGGGGAGCAAACAGG
rnacentral:rRNA from 1 species